rnacentral:rRNA from 1 species
GCCAAUAGAAAUGCAAUUUAUUCAGUUGUUGAUUAAAACUUUAUUUCUGGCACCAGUUCAACUAAGCUAAGCAGGGUUGAGCCUGGUCAGUACCUGGACGGGUGACCACAUGGAAAAACUAGGUUGCUGUUGGAC